UGAGUGCAGGUCUUGAGGGGUGGUAUAUGGUUUGGUGCAGGUCAUGAGGGGUGGAAUACGGUUGGGUGCAGGUCUUGGGGCGUGGUAUAUAGAUGAGUUCAGGUCUUGAUCUACUCUUUCCUAACAGUAAGAUAUCAACUGACCUGAGAGAUGGUUCUCUGCCCUGACUAAUGAGACAGAACAGAUCUUCUUCCAGAUUGGGUUAUUGACUCGGUCACGGGUCCCCAAUGUGUAACCAGAACCCCCAAUAACAGACUCCGUGUAACAUCCGUCAUACAAUCACAUGUAUAAAUGUCCCUGUUUAGUUCAUGUCUUAGGAGGGGAUCAUGUGACGCCCCAUAAGGCACCUAUGUGCUACAUCUGAUCUGAGAAUAGCAGAAUAAAUCGGAAAUUACGUCUGGUCACAUUACGCUAUAGAACGCCACGUAUCCAGAAGUCUAAAGUCGAAGCCCGAUUACCCGGGUGGAAGCUACCACCUAGUGGGGGAGGUGUAAACUACAGGUCACAUGGACAGGAGGUGACAGCGGGAAGGAUUAUUGUGUAUAUAGUCAUAGACUGAUGACACACGGUGUAUACCCCGGGUAGAGGCUACCACCUAGUGGGGGAGGUGUAAACUACAGGUCACAUGGACAGGAGGUGACAGCGGGAAGGAUUAUUGUGUAUAUAGUCA